AUACGGAGGAUCCGAGCGUUAUCCGGAUUUAUUGGGUUUAAAGGGUGCGCAGGCGGAAGAUUAAGUCGGCGGUGAAAUUUUGCAGCUUAACUGUAAAAGUGCCUUCGAAACUGGUUUCCUUGAGUGUAGAUGAAGUAGGCGGAAUUUGUGGUGUAGCGGGUGAAAUGCAUAGAUAUCACGAGGAACCCCGAUUGCGCAGGCAGCUUACUAAACUACUACUGACGCUCAGGCACGAAGGCGUGGGGAUC
rnacentral:rRNA from 1 species